GUUUAUGAGUAGUAUAGUUUUAAACUUGUAAUAAUGAUUUAUUAUUUGAAAAUAGUAAAAGAUGGCAUGCCUGUAUACAUGAUCCUAUGUUAGAGGGUAAAUUACAUAAAUAUUGUGUUCUUUAUUUUGUGUGGGUGUGGUUUUUCUCAACAAGUUCAUAUUAUGCUUACAAGGGUUGAUAAAGAUGGUGUUAGAGGUAAUCUUAGAGGACUG
rnacentral:misc_RNA from 1 species